GAAAUGCGAUACGUAAUGUGAAUUGCAGAAUUCCGUGAAUCAUCGAAUCUUUGAACGCACCUUGCGCUUCUUGGUAUUCCAGGAAGCAUGUCUGUUUGAGUCUCAGUUGAUCUCUCGCUGCCUUAACCGGCGGUGGACGUGAGCGGCUGGCGGUUUAACCCGGCCACCGCUUGAAACGCAUCAGCUGGCCUCUGAAUGCGCGCGGCGCGUUCCCACGGCUUGAUGGUACCUUUUAGGUUCUCUGGCUGCUAGGAAGCGUCGACGCUUUGGAGGCGAUUCAGGCUUGUCGCCCGUGCGCGCUGGUUUUCCGGCCCACACUUGACACCUUGAGCUCAAAUCAGGCAAGACUACCCGCUGAACUUAA
rnacentral:misc_RNA from 1 species